AGAGUUUGAUCAUGGCUCAGGACGAACGCUGGCGGCGUGCCUAAUACAUGCAAGUCGAACGCAAAACUUUUAACUGAUGCUUGCAUCGACCUAAAGUUUUGAGUGGCGGACGGGUGAGUAACACGUGGGUAACCUGCCCAUCAGAGGGGGACAACACUUGGAAACAGGUGCUAAUACCGCAUAAUACAGAGAACCGCAUGGUUCUUUGUUGAAAGGCGCUUCUGGUGUCGCUGAUGGAUGGACCCGCGGUGCAUUAGCUAGACGGUGAGGUAACGGCUCACCGUGGCAAUGAUGCAUAGCCGACCUGAGAGGGUGAUCGGCCACAUUGGGACUGAGACACGGCCCAAACUCCUACGGGAGGCAGCAGUAGGGAAUCUUCGGCAAUGGACGAAAGUCUGACCGAGCAACGCCGCGUGAGUGAAGAAGGUUUUCGGAUCGUAAAACUCUGUUGUUAGAGAAGAACAGGAGCGAUAGUAACUGCUCGCUCUUUGACGGUAUCUAACCAGAAAGCCACGGCUAACUACGUGCCAGCAGCCGCGGUAAUACGUAGGUGGCAAGCGUUGUCCGGAUUUAUUGGGCGUAAAGCGAGCGCAGGCGGUCUUUUAAGUCUGAUGUGAAAGCCCACGGCUUAACCGUGGAGGGUCAUUGGAAACUGGGAGACUUGAGUGCAGAAGAGGAAAGUGGAACUCCAUGUGUAGCGGUGGAAUGCGUAGAUAUAUGGAAGAACACCAGUGGCGAAGGCGGCUUUCUGGUCUGUAACUGACGCUGAGGCUCGAAAGCGUGGGGAGCAAACAGGAUUAGAUACCCUGGUAGU
rnacentral:rRNA from 1 species